UUUCGCAAUGCCCGAAAGGGAGACGAAGCGACGCCGCGUGUGGGAAGAAGGCCUUCGGGUUGUAAACCACUGUCGGGAGUUAGGAAAUGCAGGUGCGUUAAUAGCGCACUUGCUUGACUAAGGCUCCAGAGGAAGCCACGGCUAACUCUGUGCCAGCAGCCGCGGUAAUACAGAGGCGGCAAGCGUUGUUCGGAAUUAUUGGGCGUAAAGAGCACGUAGGCGGCCUUGCAAGUCAGUUGUGAAAGCCUUCCGCUUAACGGAAGAACGGCAUCUGAUACUACAGGGCUUGAGUACGGGAGGGGAGAGUGGAACUUCUGGUGGAGCGGUGAGAUGCGUAGAUAUCAGAAGGAACGCCGGCGGCGAAAGCGACUCUCUGGUCCGAAACUGACGCUGAGUGUGCGAAAGCUAGGGGAGCAAACGGGAUUAGAUACCCCGGUAGUCCUAGCCGUAAACGAUGGGCACUAAGUAGAGGGGUUUU
rnacentral:rRNA from 1 species